rnacentral:rRNA from 1 species
GACGAACGCUGGCGGCGUGCCUAAUACAUGCAAGUCGAGCGAGCUUGCCUAGAUGAAUUUGGUGCUUGCACCAAAUGAAACUAGAUACAAGCGAGCGGCGGACGGGUGAGUAACACGUGGGUAACCUGCCCAAGAGACUGGGAUAACACCUGGAAACAGAUGCUAAUACCGGAUAACAACACUAGACGCAUGUCUAGAGUUUAAAAGAUGGUUCUGCUAUCACUCUUGGAUGGACCUGCGGUGCAUUAGCUAGUUGGUAAGGUAACGGCUUACCAAGGCAAUGAUGCAUAGCCGAGUUGAGAGACUGAUCGGCCACAUUGGGACUGAGACACGGCCCAAACUCCUACGGGAGGCAGCAGUAGGGAAUCUUCCACAAUGGACGCAAGUCUGAUGGAGCAACGCCGCGUGAGUGAAGAAGGGUUUCGGCUCGUAAAGCUCUGUUGGUAGUGAAGAAAGAUAGAGGUAGUAACUGGCCUUUAUUGACGG